AAAAAGCUCGUAGUCGGAUUUUGGCUGAGAACGGUCGGUCCGCCGUUAGGUGUGCACUGACUGGUCUCAGCUUCCUGGUGAGGAGGUGUGCUUCAUCGCCACUUAGUCACCGUGGUUACUUUGAAAAAAUUAGAGUGUUCAAAGCGGGCUUACGCUUGAAUAUAUUAGCAUGGAAUAACACCAUAGGACUCCUGUCCUAUUUCGUUGGUCUCGGGACGGGAGUAAUGAUUAAGAGGAACAGUUGGGGGCAUUCGUAUUUCAUUGUCAGAGGUGAAAUUCUUGGAUUUAUGAAAGACGAACUUCUGCGAAAGCAUUUGCCAAGGAUGUUUUCAUUGAUCAAGAACGAAAGUUGGGGGCUCGAAGAUGAUUAGAUACCAUCCUAGUCUCAACCAUAAACGAUGCCGACUAGGGAUUGGCGGAUGUUAAUUGAUGACUUCGCCAGCACCUUAUGAGAAAUCAAAGUUUUUGGGUUCCGGGGGGAGUAUGGUCGCAAGGCUGAAAACUUAAAGGAAUUGACGGAAGGGCACCAUCAGGCGUGGAGCCUGCGGCUUAAUUUGACUCAACACGGGGAAACUUACCAGUCCGA
rnacentral:rRNA from 1 species